rnacentral:rRNA from 1 species
UCAGGCCUAACACAUGCAAGUCGAGCGAGGUUUUCGGACCUAGCGGCGGACGGGUGAGUAAUGCGUAGGAAGCUGCCCGAUAGAGGGGGAUACCAGUUGGAAACGACUGUUAAUACCGCAUAAUGUCUACGGACCAAAGUGUGGGACCUUCGGGCCACAUGCUAUCGGAUGCGCCUACGUGGGAUUAGCUAGUUGGUGAGGUAAUGGCUCACCAAGGCGACGAUCCCUAGCUGGUUUGAGAGGAUGAUCAGCCACACUGGGACUGAGACACGGCCCAGACUCCUACGGGAGGCAGCAGUGGGGAAUAUUGGACAAUGGGCGCAAGCCUGAUCCAAAAGUGCCGCGUGUGUGAAGAAGGCCUUCGGGUGUAAAAAAAGGUCAGUGGGGAGGAAGGGGUUGUUGUUAAUA